CUCUAUCUGCAGUCGAGCGGACAGAUGGGAGCUUGCUCCCUGAUGUUAGCGGCGGACGGGUGAGUAACACGUGGGUAACCUGCCUGUAAGACUGGGAUAACUCCGGGAAACCGGGGCUAAUACCGGAUGGUUGUUUGAACCGCAUGGUUCAGACAUAAAAGGUGGCUUCGGCUACCACUUACAGAUGGACCCGCGGCGCAUUAGCUAGUUGGUGAGGUAACGGCUCAGCAAGGCGACGAUGCGUAGGCGACCUGAGAGGGUGAUCGGCCACACUGGGGCUGACACACGGCCCAGACUCCUACGGGAGGCAGCAGUAGGGAAUCUUCCGCAAUGGACGAAAGUCUGACGGAGCAACGCCGCGUGAGUGAUGAAGGUUUUCGGAUCGUAAAGCUCUGUUGUUAGGGAAGAACAAGUGCCGUUCAAAUAGGGCGGCACCUUGACGGUACCUAACCAGAAAGCCACGGCUAACUACGUGCCAGCAGCCGCGGUAAUACGUAGGUGGCAAGCGUUGUCCGGAAUUAUUGGGCGUAAAGGGCUCGCAGGCGGUUUCUUAAGUCUGAUGUGAAAGCCCCCGGCUCAACCGGGGAGGGUCAUUGGAAACUGGGGAACUUGAGUGCAGAAGAGGAGAGUGGAAUUCCACGUGUAGCGGUGAAAUGCGUAGAGAUGUGGAGGAACACCAGUGGCGAAGGCGACUCUCUGGUCUGUAACUGACGCUGAGGAGCGAAAGCGUGGGGAGCGAACAGGAUUAGAUACCCUGGUAGUCCACGCCGUAAACGAUGAGUGCUAAGUGUUAGGGGGUUUCCGCCCCUUAGUGCUGCAGCUAACGCAUUAAGCACUCCGCCUGGGGAGUACGGUCGCAAGACUGAAACUCAAAGGAAUUGACGGGGGCCCGCACAAGCGGUGGAGCAUGUGGUUUAAUUCGAAGCAACGCGAAGAACCUUACCAGGUCUUGACAUCCUCUGACAAUCCUAGAGAUAGGACGUCCCCUUCGGGGGCAGAGUGACAGGUGGUGCAUGGUUGUCGUCAGCUCGUGUCUUGAGAUGUUGGGUUAAGUCCCGCAACGAGCGCAACCCUUGAUCUUAGUUGCCAGCAUUCAGUUGGGCACUCUAAGGUGACUGCCGGUGCCAAACCGGAGGAAGGUGGGGAUGACGUCAAAUCAUCAUGCCCCUUAUGACCUGGGCUACACACGUGAUACAAUGGACAGAACAAAGGGCAGCGAAACCGCGAGGUUAAGCCAAUCCCACAAAUCUGUUCUCAGUUCGGAUCGCAGUCCGCAACUCGACUGCGUGAAGCAGGAAUCGCUAGUAAUCGCGGAUCAGAGCCA
rnacentral:rRNA from 1 species